AUCUACAGCCAUGCCACUCUGAAUGCACCCCAUCUCGUCUGAUCUCAGAGGCUAAGCAGGGUCGCGUCUGGUUAGUACUUGGAUGGGAGACCACCUAGGAAGACCAGGUGCUGUAGGCA
rnacentral:rRNA from 1 species